UAAAAACAAAAGACAAAAAACAUAUUUUAAGAAUAGAAAAAAUAUGAAUAGAACAAGAUGAGAUAUUAACCAUAAUACCAUGUAAAAGAAUAGAAAAAAAAAAUCAAAAUAUAAGAUUUGAUCUGAUUAUAAAAAUUUUCAUUCCUAUUUAAAUUUUUUAAAAAUCAUUUACAUUAAUAAAUAAAAAAUCAAAUUAAUUUCUCAUUGUUAAUUCCAAC
rnacentral:lncRNA from 1 species